rnacentral:SRP_RNA from 1 species
GCCAGGCACAGAAGUGUGUGCCUGUAGUCCCAGCUACUUGGGAGGCUGUGGUGGGAGGAUUGCUGGAGCCCAGAGGAUGGGUUGAGCCCAGGAGUUCUGAGCUAUAGUGUGCUAUGCCAAUGGGGUGUCCACACUAAGUCUGGCAUCAAUAUGGUGACCUCCUGGGAGCACGGGACCACCAGAUUGCUUAAGGAGGGGUGAACUGACUCAUGUCAAAAACAGAGCAGUUCCAAACUCCCGUGCGGAUCAGUGGUGGACCAUGCCUGUGAAUAAUCAUUUUUGGAGUAAGACUCCCACCUCU